UUCCUUUCCUUUCCUUUCCUUUCCAGAUCCUUCUGGGAGGUCAGUCAUGGGUGUGAGAGGUUUGCAGGGGUUUGUGGCAAGCAGCUGCCCACAUGUAUGUACAACAGUGAAUUUCAAAGAGCUGGCCGAGCAGCACCAAAGCAAGCAUCCCGGAUGCACGCCCACCAUCGUGGUGGACGCCAUGUGCUGUCUCAGGUACUGGUACACCCCUGAGUCAUGGGUUUGCGGUGGCCAGUGGAAGGAAUACUUUUCUGUCCUGCGAGAUUUUGUGAGAACUUUUACAGAUGUUGGCAUCAAGUUGGUAUUCUUCUUUGAUGGCAUGGUGGAGAAGGAGAAGAGAGAUGUGUGGGUGAAACGGAGACUCAAGAACAACAGGGAGAUUGCCCGGAUUUUCCAUUAUAUCAAGACGCACAGGGAACAGCCCAGCAGGAGCAUGUUCUUCAUCCCCUCGGGGCUGGCCAUCUUCACGCGGUUUGCUCUGAAGACGCUGGGUCAGGAAACCCUGUGCUCCUUACAGGAGGCUGACUAUGAGGUGGCUUCUUACGGCCUCCAGAACAACUGUCUAGGGAUCCUCGGAGAAGACACCGACUACUUAAUUUAUGACUCCUGUCCCUACUUUUCCAUCAGUGAGCUCUGCCUGGACAGCCUCAGCACUGUCAUGCUCUGUAGGGAGAAGCUCUGUGCGAGUCUGGGCCUCUGCCUGGCAGACCUUCCCCUUCUGGCCUGCCUGCUGGGCAACGACGUCGUCCCGGAAGGCAUGUUUGAGACCUUUCGGUACAAGUGCUUGUCCUUCUAUACCUCUGUGAAGGAGAACUGUGACAGGAGAGGCAACGUCAUCUUAGCUGUAGCAGACCACAUAGCUAAAGUCCUUCGCUUAUAUCAAGGUGAGAAAAAGCUGGAAGAGAUGUUACCUUUGGGACCAAACAAAGCUCUUUUUUAUAAGGGGAUGGCAUCAUAUCUUUUACCAGGACAGAAAUCUCCAUGGAUUUCCCCAAAAGCCAAAGCUAUAACAACUUUGGACAAGCAGAUCAUAUCCGUGAGUUCAGACCCUGAAUCCAAGCAAGAAAGUCCUGAGAGUUCAGACCCUGAAUCCAAGCAAGGAAGUCCUGAGAGUACAGAUUCUGGAUCCAAGCAAGAAAGUCCUGUGUGUACGGACCCUGAGUCUAAGCAGGAAGAUCCUAUGUGUACAGACCCUGAAUCCACGCAGGAAGUUCCCAUGUGUACAGACCCUGAAUUCAAGGAGGAAGACCCCGUGAAUAUGGAGCCUGAAAUCAAGCGACAAGUAACCAUGGUUUCAGACACCGAAAUCUUAAAGGUUGCUAGAGCCCAGCACGUGCAGGCGGAGAGCUACCUUGUGUACAACAUCAUGGCCAGCGGGGAGAUCGAGUGCAGCAACACCUUGGAGGAUGCCCUGGACCAGGCCCUGCCCAGCCAGGCCUUCGUCUACCGCCCGGUGCGGCAGCGUGUCUACUCCCUCCUGCUGGCGGAUGGCCAUGAUGGUGCCAGCUUUCCUCCCGUCCAGGAGUGGUUUGUGUACUCUGGGAACCCGCUGACGCACCCGGACCUCGUCAGGCCUCUGCAGAUGAGCCUCCCAGGGGGAACGCCAAGUUUGAAGCUGCUGUGGCUGAACCAUGAGCCCGGAACCCACGCACGGCGUGUAGAGGUGCUCCUCGCCUGUUUCGACCUCUCCUCCUCGAGCGAAGAGCUGCAGGCUGUGCAGAGCCCCUUUCAAGGGCUCUGCUGCCUCCUCGCCUACCUGUUUGUGCAGGUGGACACACUGUGCUUGGAGGACCUGCACGCUUUCAUCGCUCAGGCCCUGUGCCUCUCAGGGAAGUCAGCUGGGCAUCUCGCAGACGUACAGCUCGAUCGUGUGGACCCCAGAGCCGUGCAACUGGGCUCCCUCCUGGUCCGCGGCCUGACCAUGCUGCUGCUGGUCAACAGCGCGUGCGGCUUCCCCUGGAGCACGAGUGACCUCAUGCCUUGGAACGUCUUUGACGGGAAGCUGUUUCACGAGAAGUACCUGCAGACCGAGAAGGGAUACACGGUGGAGGCCCUCGUGGAGCAGAACAGGGCGCGGCUCACCCAGUUCCACCAGCUGAAGUCCGUGGUGUGCAAGGCCUGCCUGCGGGAGGACCGGCGCAUCGCCAGCCGGCAGCUCUGGCAGCCACUCCACUCAGGGAGGCGGGGAAGACCGGGAUCUGGCGCCCAUAGGACGAGCUUUGGAAACAGCCGGUCAGACCAAGGACAGCACUGGAGAGAGCAGGGCUCAGGAAGCAGACAGCAGGAGCCGGACCCGUGGAGAAGGGGCUCCUCCUCUGGGUAAGUCACCCCUUCCGUCCUCAGAGUGCGCUGUCCACCAGACACCGACGUGAGACUCACAGCCACAGCAUAGGCCACUCCAGGGGCCAGAUGUGAAAGGGAGCCAGGUGUCAGGUCCUGCGGACAGACCCCUCCCUAAGCUGACUUGGUUUCCAGAAAAGUCUUUUUUCUCUAGAAAGAGGUUGGUGAGAACAGAUGGCGAGUCUGGACUUGAAUCCCCGGCAGCACCUUCCUUGUCAUCGGAGCCAUGGCUGUUCUGCCUGGAGGGGACGGGCUCGGGGUCCAGGCCUCGCUUUCCGCAGGGAGGGAGGGAGGGAGGGCGGGAGGGCAUCUGCCCAGCUCCUCCGCAGGCCCGUGGGGAGCCUGUGGGCUGGUGCUCAGAGGUGUCGCUCCCUCCCAUCCCAGCACCCCUGGACCUGUGUCCUCUCAGAUUCUGACCACAGUCCUCACAGGUCAUGCUUCCAGCUCUCUGCUUGGGUCCUCGCUUCCUCCCUUCCUGGCGGGAGGGUUCGCUCUGGGGUGGGCUCGGCGGUGUCUGCUGGGCGCCCUCCCUUCACUUGACUGGGAGUGUGUGCUGUCGGGCGUGUGCCGACGGGCUGGUCUUGGCCCAGGCUGCAGGCCUCCAGCGGGGUUCCCUCUUGGAGAGGAGGGUGCAGUGAGUGUCAGGAGCCCGAUCGGGGUGUCUGCUGCUCUGCGUCGCUGGGCACCGGAGAGCUCUUAGCAUUAAAGACAUUUAAAAGGAACCGAGUCUCAAGCAGUCCUCGCUGACAGGCUUUCCAGGAAACCCCAGAGGUGGCAUGCUGAGCCCGGUGACCUCUGGAGCCUUGGUAACGACUAGAAGUUGAAAGCCAGGCCCUUCGCAGCAGCCGUGGCCUAAACCUGGGGGAGGGGUGAUUGCCUGACUGACCCCCCAGCUCCCAGAAGGACUCCUGCACGGCCCCCCCACCCCCUGCCCCGGCUGCCCUCUUCCAAGCAAGAGCCCUGCAGGCAGCUCAGGGCGUGGAGCCCCGGCCUGUCUUGUCCUGAACCCCGACCUGGCAUUUCCCGGACGUGGGCGCCGUCUCCAGGGGUGUCAUGCGUUUGUGUUUCUGGCGUGUGAAGUAGCCUCGCUUCCUGCGGCUCCUCUGUACGGAUGUUAGCAGAUCUGGCUGCUCUUCAGGCACAUCUGGUAGGACCUACAACCUGAUUUCCCAAGUGGUCCAACUGACCUUCUGCCAGACCCCAGGCCCUCUCAGCUGGAAACGAUCCCUUCAGACUUCGACAUGCGACAGGAAGCGGACACAUCCUGCUUAGGGACCAUUGUGCACUGAGGUUCUCACAUCGCCAGCGCUCAGCACCGGGGACAAAGCUGCUCCGGCCUCUUCCCCCGCCGGCGGUCAGAGGGGAACUCGGGAACUCGGGUGGACGGCCUGCUGGCGCGUGGCAUCCCCGCAGCCUCACCCCGCACGGCCUGCCUGCGAUGAGGGUGGUUGUGUGUGUGAUAUGCCACGGGGUGGUUGCAGGGCAGUAGUUCCAGCUGCUAGCCUGACAAGCCUGGAGAGAGACCUGCAGCCUCAGGCCAAGGAUGGGAGUUCUCCGGCCGCGGGCUCGCACUGAGGUUGGAGCUGCUGCUCCACAGCGGCUCAUCUCAGAGGCGGCCCAGGCCCCGGCUGAGGGCCCUCAUCCGGGUUUACAGGGGCACACACAGCACUCUGCUGGACUCCUUGUUCGGAUUUGUCAGAAAUGCUGUUAGUCGCCUCAGCUGGUUUGGCUCAGUGGACAGCAUCGGCCUGUGGACGGAAGAAUCCUGGGUUCGGUUCCGGUCAAGAGCA